CCCGGCCCGCGGAGAGGCUUCCGGCCACGGCCGCCCGGGACUGGUUGCUUGGCGGCUGGUGGCGGAAGUGGAGGCGCGUAGCUGUCGGAGUGCACGCUAGGGCGCUAAACCGGAGGAGCUGGUGUGUGUGCCCAGGAUUCUGCACCCACUCAAGCUACACUCUUCCUAGUUGGCAGUACCAUCUACCCCCAGCUUCAAGUUUAUGCAGACUAUCACCUAAGUGUGUACUUCCAGCCUGUGCUUCAGAAAACCCACAUUUCCAUUUUUUUUCAAGGAGAGAGGAAAGAUGGGAACGUUGGCAGACAGUUACAAAUCUUUAAAAGCAGUGUCUUCAGACUUUAGCAAGGGCGAGGCCCUAAAUUCAAUGACCAGUGUUGUUAGAAGAGAAGAAGAGAAGACACAGAGAAGGCCGUGGCCAUGUGAGGACAGAGAUCAGAUGAUGCAGCCACAAGCCAAGGAAUGCCUGGAGCUACCAGAAGCUGGAAGAGGAAAGAAAUCAUUCUCUCCUGAAGCCUCUGAAGGGAGUGCAGCCCUGCUAACACCUUGAUUUUAGAAUUUUUCUCGCUAAGUUGUUUUAAGCCACCCAGUUUGUAAUUUGUUACAGUAGCCUUAGGAAACAUAUAUAUGUGUGUGUGUGUGUGUAUAUAUAUAUAUAUAUAUAUAACAGUAAUCUCUCUAUAUAUAGGUAGAUAAGGUAUAUUUCCCUAAAAUUUCUAUUGAAAAGUAUACUGUUUUAAAAUGUGGAUACAGUGUCCUCCCUUAUCCACGGUUUUGCUUUCAUGGCUUCAACUAUCUGUGGCCACCUGCAGCCUGGAAGCAGAUAUCUGCCUUCUGACAAAAUGUUAUAAGGUCAAUAGCAGCCUAAGGCUAAGUCACAAUGCCUAGGUCAUUCAUGUCACUUUAUCACGCAGGUAUUUUAUCAUCUCACAUAAUCACAAGAAGGGUGUGUCCAGUACAAUAAGAUAUUCUGAGAGAGAGAGACCACAUUCACACAACUUUUAUUAUAAUAUAUUGUUAUAAUUGCUCUGUUUUAUUAUUAGUUAUUGUUAAUUUUCUACUCUGCCUAAUUUAUAAAUUAAACUAUCAUAGAUGUGUAUGUGUAGAGAAAAAACAGUAUAUAUAGGGUUCAACACUAUCAAGUUUUCAGGCAACUAAAACUUGCCUGGAAGUUUUAGGGGGUCCUGAAACACAUCCCCUGCAGAUCACGGUAUAAAGAAGGCUCGCAAAUUUAAUGUCAGACGAAAUAAGACUUAAGCAAAAACAUUAAAUGUGCCUAUAUUCUCAUGGGCAAAUUCUCUGUAAGAAUGCUGACCACUGUGACUCAGGGAACCCCUCCAGCCCAUUGUCCAGUUCACUGUUUUGAACGCCUAGGCCCUUGUGCUGUCUUCGCACAUCCUUUGGGCAUCUAUUUAUGGCUCCUUCCCACCUCCUUCCUUUUGCUUGGGUGUUGGGCUUGGCUGGGUGGACUGGUUUCUGGUUGCAUCUCGCUGGUCUCUAACACAGCCUUGGUUUCUGCCCUCUCUGACCCUAGCAUUCAGCAUCCUGGAUCCCCACUUCUCUGGGUAGGGGGAAUCAAACAUUCACAAACAACGGCUAUAUCCGCCUUUCAAGUGCUCAUAGUACACGUGGAGAGAUAAUGAGUAAAAACCGACAGUAACACCCGCGUCACGUGUGAAUUCCGAUACAGCGUUAGCGCAAUGAUUGUUUUCUACUCUCUUAAGGGCUACGAUAGGGAUUAAAGUUAUCUUUUAACCUGAUUACCCAACAGAGCAGACGCCAUCUAACCGGGCAGAUGCGGCGAAGAUGAGCUCUCUUGAGAGUACCAGGCAGGGAGAGGACCUCUUGCAACAGUAUCAUCAUCCAAAACCACCAGCAGGUGGCGCCAAUUUGCCACCGAGACUUGGCGGCUCCAGUCCGUGCAACUUCAAGGCGAGCACCAGGAUUAGACGCUGCGUGGCUCCCUGGAGAAGGGCUCUGCCUUCUGCUUUCUGCUGACAGGGUAGAAACUCCCCAGGAGUUGGGGUAUGAUACCCCCAACCCCACCCCUCCUUAAGGAUGUGAGAUCUCAAAGUAGAGAUUCUCUGGGAAGUUCGGAGAGGCAGCAAGCUUUGCAGAAGUCAGCCCACAGCAGCCUAGGUGGUGUCAAGACUGUCAAGGGACUAGGGGACCUGAGUAUGCAAAGGUGGCUGGACGAGGGCUGGCAGAGUGGAGGCGCCUUUGAGGUCUGGGCCAGAAGUGCAUGUACCAAAACUGGGAAGUGUGGGAAACAGGCCAUUAAACUAAUGUCGGCUUCGUCUAUGGCAGGUGACAGGCCUGGGAGGGGAAGAUGAUGUAUAUCUCAAGGGAUGUCAAAGUGGGCAGAUAUUGGCCACAGAACAUUCAGAUGAACCUCCCUUAAUGCUACAAAGGUUCCCCCUUACUUAGAUGCAGGCACCUGCCAGAGGGUGGGAAGGGAGAAAACCAUAACUGAAAAUCUUGAAAAGCUAGAAAUGAGUUUGCCUCGAAGUGACUAAUAUUUGUGUGGUUGGAGGAUUUAAAUUUUUAAUAGCUGGUAGGAGUAAUAGUCAAAAUACAGGAAAAAUUUUGUAAUAGAAAAGGAAGGUUAUAUUUUGUUCUAGCAAACCUGAAUCUGUGGCCCAUGAAAUGCUUGUCAGAUACAAAUAUUGAUAAAAAUUGAUUGUAUAUAAGAAAUCUUAAAAAUUUCCCAAAGCAGAAAUUGUGCCUUUUGUAGCCCCAUUGUAAAAAAUAAAUAUG